UGGACUUCAGCAAUGACAGGGGCAGAGC
rnacentral:sRNA from 1 species